CCCCCCCCCCCCACUCCCAGUGGUCUGUUCUAUAAUGCCUCAAUUCGGUAUUGGUAAACACCUGUUUGAACAUGGCCUCGAAACGGCAACAGGAGUCGGGAGCGGAGAAAAGAAAGAAGAAGAGGAAGCGUGAUGAAACUCAGGCGUCGCUUGCCGGGUCAAUGCUUAAAUAUGUUCAAGGAGGAUCUCAAGGACAGGAUGAACCAUCCAGUAGUAGUGCCAUCCCUGGACAUCAACCACCAGCCAUUGUAGACCCUGCAACAAUCCCUAGCCAAGAAGAACAAGAACCAUCAACCACCAGUUCAGGUA